rnacentral:rRNA from 1 species
GCUAAAUAUGACCACNAGACCGAUCGCGAACAAGUACCGAGAGGGAAAGUUGAAAAGAACUUUGAAGAGAGAGUUCAAGAGUACGUGAAACCGUUCAGGGGUAAACCUGAGAAACCCAAAAGAUCGAAUGGGGAGAUUCAUCGUCAGCGCGGCUGGCUUCCGUGCGGUUCGCGAUGACCGGGACCUCGGUCUCGCGUCACGCGUCCGCUGCGGCAUGUCCGGCCGCGUCGGCGUGCACUUCUCCCCUARUAGGACGUCCCGACCCGUUKGGUGUCGGACCGAUWGCCGUUUGGUCGCCUGUCUCGUCGCGUUCACGCGUGCACGUGGCARCCGAAAUGGUCGAGCGUCCGGCUGYCCGGCGGUAUUGAACGCUUAUGAACGGUAAUGAGCCGCAUUAAGUGCGUUCAGGCUCGUCGGCAGGCUCGUCUCGCCCGGAUUUACGGACCUAGCGCCCUUCCSGGUGCUUGGCGUGGCCGUUAGUCGACMAUGUCCUCGGACUGGCUCUUAAAUUCGAAAGGAUUACCGGUCGGCGACGCUUCUGCUUUGGGUACUUUCAGGAMCCGUCUUGAAA